ACGCACGCUGGCGGCAGGCUUAACACAUGCAAGUCGAGCGCCCCGCAAGGGGAGCGGCAGACGGGUGAGUAACGCGUGGGAACGUACCUUUUGGUUCGGAACAACUCCGGGAAACUGGAGCUAAUACCGGAUAAGCCCUAACGGGGAAAGAUUUAUCGCCGAAAGAUCGGCCCGCGUCUGAUUAGCUAGUUGGUGAGGUAACGGCUCACCAAGGCGACGAUCAGUAGCUGGUCUGAGAGGAUGAUCAGCCACACUGGGACUGAGACACGGCCCAGACUCCUACGGGAGGCAGCAGUGGGGAAUAUUGGACAAUGGGCGCAAGCCUGAUCCAGCCAUGCCGCGUGAGUGAUGAAGGCCUUAGGGUUGUAAAGCUCUUUUGUCCGGGAAGAUAAUGACUGUACCGGAAGAAUAAGCCCCGGCUAACUUCGUG
rnacentral:rRNA from 1 species